rnacentral:rRNA from 1 species
UACGUAGGGGGCAAGCGUUGUCCGGAUUCACUGGGUGUAAAGGGCGCGUAGGCGGGUUUGUUAGUCAGAGGUGAAAUCCUGCAGCUUAACUGUAGAACUGCCUCUGAUACUGCAAAUCUUGAGUUCAGAAGAGAGUAGCGGAAUUCCAGGUGUAGUGGUGAAAUACGUAGAUAUCUGGAAGAACACCAGUGGCGAAGGCGGCUACUUGGUCUGCAACUGACGCUGAGGCGCGAAAGCGUGGGGAUCAAACAGG